UAUGAGUUAAAGACUAAAAAUGUAUGUUAUUGGCUCUUUAAUGUGGCAGUGCUGCAGUCUUUCUUGCAUGGUCCUCUCCCAUCAAUGGCGAGUGACCCAGCAGCACUGCCCAGACUGAUGGAAGAACCGAAGGCGAGGCCUCUGGAGGCGGCGAGGUGUUUCGUGCGAUAUUCUUCCUACAGAUUCACCCUUUGGCCCUGUUUCCACGGCGGUAACGGUUGGCCUGUACUGUUACCGAUCUACAAACGGGCAGAGCAGAUGAGCAGCUAGAUAUUGUCUGUGGAUCGGAUCUGUCUUGGCUGCCUGAACCAAGUUCAAGUGGAGGAACAACUUGUAAAGACAUUCUCAGAAUUAUAAAAGAUCUGAGAGGAAAAAGAGGCAUAAUAAGGAGCUGUUGAGUGACACAUUAACACUGUAAAAUGAAAUGACCAUGUAGUGAAAUUUUUAAUCAAAUCUUAAUUGCUCUCUCAUUGUUUUGCCAUGCAUCACAUCUGUUUUUUCUGGUCAUUUGUUUGUGUAUUUUUGUUCAUUUUAGUUUAACCUGAUUAAAGAGAUUACACUUGAA